UGGGCAAUCUGCCCUUCACUCUGGGACAAGCCCUGGAAACGGGGUCUAAUACCGGAUAACACUCUGUCCCGCAUGGGACGGGGUUAAAAGCUCCGGCGGUGAAGGAUGAGCCCGCGGCCUAUCAGCUUGUUGGUGGGGUAAUGGCCUACCAAGGCGACGACGGGUAGCCGGUCUGAGAGGGCGACCGGCCACACUGGGACUGAGACACGGCCCAGACUCCUACGGGAGGCAG
rnacentral:rRNA from 1 species